rnacentral:rRNA from 1 species
CCCUUAGAUGUCCUGGGCCGCACGCGCGCUACACUGACAUGUUCAACAAGUUUCGCCUAGUUCGACAGGACUGGGAAAUCUUUGAACGCAUGUCGUGAUAGGGAUAGAUCAUUGCAAUUAUUGAUCUUGAACGAGGAAUUCCUAGUAAACGCGAGUCAUCAGCUCGCAUUGAUUACGUCCCUGCCCUUUGUACACACCGCCCGUCGCACCUACCGAUUGAAUGUUUCGGUGAAGAUUCCGGAUAGGACUGAUUUGAUUUAUUUCAUUUCUGACCUAAAAGCUAUCUAAACCUCAACAUUUAGAGGAAGGUGAAGUCGUAACA